UGGUUACUCUAGGUGACAAGGGUUGUAGAUACUACACCAAGAGCUUCCGUGGAUCUGUUGAUCCUUUCCAUGUGAACGCAGUGGAUACAACUGGUGCUGGUGAUUCUUAUGUUGGUGCCUUGCUUUGCAAGAUCGUUGAUGACCGUGCUGUGCUCGAGGACGAACCUCGUUUGAGAGAAGUGCUAAGGUUUGCAAAUGCUUGCGGAGCCAUCACUACAACAAAGAAAGGAGCAAUACCUGCUCUCCCUACAGAGGCUGAAGUUCAGAGCCUCCUGAAAGGAAACUGACUUACAAAUAGUCUGAAGUUUUUGGAUUUCACGUUUUAGUUUUUUCUGGCUUUGGCUUUUUCCCUUUUUUCUCUUUUGCUUUUGGCUCUGUGUUCUUGUAGAACUGACCAGAGAACCGUUCUAUUCUGUUUAUGAAACUCAUUUUAUUCCACA